rnacentral:tRNA from 1 species
GCUGGUGGCUGCGCAGGCAGAAACGCGCCAGGCUCUUGUCCGGGCUGAGGUCGAAGACGUAGAACUUGUUGAUCUGCGGCGGCACCACCAGCA